rnacentral:rRNA from 1 species
GCUCAACUGGGAGAGGCCGUUCGAAACUACCUGACUUGAGGGCAGUAGAGGGAGGUGGAAUUCAGGGUGUAGCGGUGAAAUGCGUAGAUAUCCUGAGGAACACCAGUGGCGAAGGCGGCCUCCUGGGCUGACCCUGACGCUCAGACGCGAAAGCUAGGGUAGCAAACGGGAUUAGACACCCCGGUAGUCCUAGCUGUAAACGAUGCAGACUUGGUGUUGGCAGUUUAAACACUGUCAGUGCCGUAGCUAACGCGAUAAGUCUGCCGCCUGGGGACUACGACCGCAAGGUUAAAACUCAAAGGAAUUGACGGAGGCCCGCACAAGCAGCGGAGCGUGUGGUUUAAUUCGAGGCUACGCGAAGAACCUUACCUGGGUUUGACAUGUACGUAGUAGGAAUCCGAAAGGUGACCGACCCCUCGGGGAGCGUACACAGGUGCUGCAUGGCUGUCGUCAGCUCGUGCCGUGAGGUGUCCGGUUAAGUCCGGUAACGAGCGCAACCCUUACUCUGUGUUAUAUGUGUCACAGAGGACUGCCGGUAUAAAGCCGGAGGAAGGUGGGGAUGACGUCAAGUCCGCAUGGCCUUUAUAUCCAGGGCUACACACACGCUACAAUGGCCGGUACAAUGGGUCGCGAAGCCGCGAGGCGGAGCCAAUCCUCCAAAGCCGGUCUCAGUUCGGAUUGCAGGCUGCAACCCGCCUGCAUGAAGUCGGAGUUGCUAGUAACCGCAGGACAGCUAUACUGCGGUGAAUACGUUCCCGGGCCUUGUACACACCGCCCGUCGCGUCAUGGGAGCUGGCAACACCUGAAGUCGAUGACCUAACCGCAAGGAAGGAAUCGCCCAAGGUGGGGCUGGUGACUGGGACGAAGUCGUAACAAGGUAACC